rnacentral:rRNA from 1 species
AGUGAACGCUGGCGGUAGGCCUAACACAUGCAAGUCGAACGGCAGCACAGUAAGAGCUUGCUCUUACGGGUGGCGAGUGGCGGACGGGUGAGGAAUACAUCGGAAUCUACUUUUUCGUGGGGGAUAACGUAGGGAAACUUACGCUAAUACCGCAUACGACCUACGGGUGAAAGCAGGGGAUCUUCGGACCUUGCGCGAUUGAAUGAGCCGAUGUCGGAUUAGCUAGUUGGCGGGGUAAAGGCCCACCAAGGCGACGAUCCGUAGCUGGUCUGGGAGGAUGAUCAGCCACACUGGAACUGAGACACGGUCCAGACUCCUACGGGAGGCACCAGUGGGGAAUAUUGGACAAUGGGCGCAAGCCUGAUCCAGCCAUACCGCGUGGGUGAAGAAGGCCUUCGGGUUGUAAAGCCCUUUUGUUGGGAAAGAAAAGCAGCAGGUUAAUACCCCGCUGUUCUGACGGUACCCAAAGAAUAAGCACCGGCUAACUUCGUG